AGAGUUUGAUCCUGGCUCAGGACGAACGCUGGCGGCACGCUUAACACAUGCAAGUCGAACGAGAGAAGAGGAGCUUGCUUUUCUGAUCUAGUGGCGGACGGGUGAGUAACACGUGAGCAAUCUGCCUUUCAGAGGGGGAUACCGAUUGGAAACGAUCGUUAAUACCGCAUAACAUAAUUGAACCGCAUGAUUUGAUUAUCAAAGAUUUAUCGCUGAAAGAUGAGCUCGCGUCUGAUUAGCUAGUUGGUAAGGUAACGGCUUACCAAGGCGACGAUCAGUAGCCGGACUGAGAGGUUGAUCGGCCACAUUGGGACUGAGACACGGCCCAGACUCCUACGGGAGGCAGCAGUGGGGAAUAUUGCACAAUGGAGGAAACUCUGAUGCAGCGAUGCCGCGUGAGGGAAGAAGGUUUUAGGAUUGUAAACCUCUGUCUUCAGGGACGAAAAAAGACGGUACCUGAGGAGGAAGCUCCGGCUAACUACGUGCCAGCAGCCGCGGUAAUACGUAGGGAGCGAGCGUUGUCCGGAAUUACUGGGUGUAAAGGGAGCGUAGGCGGGAUCGCAAGUCAGAUGUGAAAACUAUGGGCUUAACCCAUAAACUGCAUUUGAAACUGUGGUUCUUGAGUGAAGUAGAGGUAAGCGGAAUUCCUAGUGUAGCGGUGAAAUGCGUAGAUACUAGGAGGAACAUCAGUGGCGAAGGCGGCUUACUGGGCUUUAACUGACGCUGAGGCUCGAAAGCGUGGGGAGCAAACAGGAUUAGAUACCCUGGUAGUCCACGCCGUAAACGAUGAUUACUAGGUGUGGGGGGACUGACCCCUUCCGUGCCGCAGCAAACGCAAUAAGUAAUCCACCUGGGGAGUACGACCGCAAGGUUGAAACUCAAAGGAAUUGACGGGGGCCCGCACAAGCAGUGGAGUAUGUGGAUUAAUUCGAAGCAACGCGAAGAACCUUACCAGGUCUUGACAUCGUAUGCAUAGCUCAGAGAUGAGUGAAAUCUCUUCGGAGACAUAUAGACAGGUGGUGCAUGGUUGUCGUCAGCUCGUGUCGUGAGAUGUUGGGUUAAGUCCCGCAACGAGCGCAACCCUUACUGUUAGUUGCUACGCAAGAGCACUCUAGCAGGACUGCCGUUGACAAAACGGAGGAAGGUGGGGAUGACGUCAAAUCAUCAUGCCCCUUAUGACCUGGGCCUCACACGUACUACAAUGGCUGUCAACAGAGGGAAGCAAAGCCGCGAGGUGGAGCGAACCCCUAAAAGCAGUCUUAGUUUCGGAUUGUAGGCUGCAACCCGCCUACAUGAAGUCGGAAUUGCUAGUAAUCGCAGAUCAGCAUGCUGCGGUGAAUACGUUCCCGGGCCUUGUACACACCGCCCGUCACGCCAUGGGAGUCGGUAACACCCGAAGCCUGUAGUCUAACCGCAAGGAGGACGCAGUCGAAGGUGGGAUUGAUGACUGGGGUGAAGUCGUAACAAGGUA
rnacentral:rRNA from 1 species